rnacentral:rRNA from 1 species
AUUCGAUGCAACGCGAAAAACCUUACCUACCCUUGACAUGUCUGGAAUCCUGAAGAGAUUUGGGAGUGCUCGAAAGAGAGCCAGAACACAGGUGCUGCAUGGCCGUCGUCAGCUCGUGUCGUGAGAUGUUGGGUUAAGUCCCGCAACGAGCGCAACCCUUGUCAUUAGUUGCUACGAAAGGGCACUCUAAUGAGACUGCCGGUGACAAACCGGAGGAAGGUGGGGAUGACGUCAGGUCAUCAUGGCCCUUAUGGGUAGGGCUACACACGUCAUACAAUGGCCGGGACAGAGGGCUGCCAACCCGCGAGGGGGAGCUAAUCCCAGAAACCCGGUCGUAGUCCGGAUCGUAGUCUGCAACUCGACUGCGUGAAGUCGGAAUCGCUAGUAAUCGCGGAUCAGCUUGCCGCGGUGAAUACGUUCCCGGGUCUUGUACACACCGCCCGUCACACCAUGGGAGCGGGUUCUGCCAGAAGUAGUUAGCCUAACCGCAAGGGGGG